GGCAGGUGGGUUUUAGAGAGGGUGAUCAGGGAAGGCCUUGCUGCGGGCGAGGUGACGUUUGUGUGCUUGUCAGGGGGAACAGCAAGUACAAAAGUCCUGAAGCAGGGCCAUGGCUGUCAUGUUGAGGACGCAGCGGGCAGAGGAGAAGGUGAUGAGAUCAGAGAGUUUCCUGCAGCGCCUUCCCAGGGACGCCAAGCCCAGGAACGAGGGCUGGAGGAGACGCUCUGGACAUCUGGACCUCUCAUGGCCAAGGACGACCUCCUGACCAUCAGAAGCUCACAGCCCUUCUCCGGGGAGGAAGCGGAGGACACAGCGGGGGCCAUCUCCUGCUCCAGGUCCAGGGUGAUGCAGCAGAGCUUUCCCUCCGCGUCACACACCAGUCCCUCUCAGCUGUGGUAGCGAGGCUGUAACCUCUUUCCGUCAGGCUCUCCUCCAGGAGGUCAUCUCCCAAGUCACGCCCUGAGCUAACAUCUGCCACCAACCCUCCUCUUUUUGCUGAAGAAGACUGGCCCUGAGCUAACAUCCGUGCCCAGCUUCCUCUACUCCAUGUGUGGGACGCCUACCACAGCAUGGCGUGCCAAGUGAUGGCAUGUC
rnacentral:lncRNA from 1 species